AGGGUAGUGUGCUAGAGACUGUUGAGGGGAGGAGGCCGCACCCUUGGGGAGAUGGGGAGAGGUUCUCUAGGGAGACAUUUUACUGAGACCUGAAUGGUACGUCAGUUACAUUUUCUUGUGUAAUUACUAGAUUAGUUUCUGCUUCUCCCACUCAGGUGCAAACUCCACAAUAGCAAAGACUACGACAGUUUUGCUAAGAAAUUCUGUAUCUUAGAAGAUCCUCAAGAAAUAUUUUGAGUAAAUAAGUGCCUGUCUUUUGAGAAUUGCCUGGGAACUCCAGAGCAGUCAAUGCAGCCACUUUCUGGAACAUUAUAUAACCAAAAAAAAGGAUCCAGCUCUUACGCUUAACUCUACGUACCAUGCCGAUGAAGACUGUUUCAUUUUGAAUUGUAUAUUCAGCAUGUGGCUUGGUGCCUGGCACAAAGUAAGCUUUCAUUAAAUCUUUAUCAAAAUAGUG
rnacentral:lncRNA from 1 species